GUAGAAUCGAUCGUAGUGUGAAUUGCAGAAUUCCGCGAAUCAUCGAGUCUUUGAACGCAAGUUGCGCCCGAGGCUUGUCCAAGGGCAUUUCCGCUAGAGCGUCACC
rnacentral:rRNA from 1 species